rnacentral:rRNA from 1 species
UUGUCCUACGGGGGGCAGCAGUCGAGAAUCAUUCACAAUGGGGGAAACCCUGAUGGUGCGACGCCGCGUGGGGGAAUGAAGGUCUUCGGAUUGUAAACCCAGGCCAGGUGGGAGGAAAUUAAAAAGAUAGUACCACAAGAGGAAGAGACGGCUAACUCUGUGCCAGCAGCCGCGGUAAUACAGAGGUCUCAAGCGUUGUUCGGAAUCACUGGGAGAAAAGCGUGCGUAGGCUGUU